rnacentral:rRNA from 1 species
GGAAUAUUGGUCAAUGGGUGAGAGCCUGAACCAGCCAUGCCGCGUGCAGGAAGACGGCCUUCUGGGUUGUAAACUGCUUUUGCCAGGGGCUAAAACGCACAUGCGUGGGAAAUUGAAAGUACCUGGUGAAUAAGCCACGGCUAACUACGUUCCAGCAGCCGCGGUAAUACGUAGGUGGCAAGCGUUGUCCGGAUUUAUUGGGUUUAAAGGGUGCGUAGGCGGCUUUGUAAGUCAGUGGUGAAAUAUGGCAGCUUAACUGUCAAGGUGCCAUUGAUACUGCGAGGCUUGAGUACAGAUGAGGUAGGCGGAAUUGACGGUGUAGCGGUGAAAUGCUUAGAUAUCGUCAAGAACACCUAUAGCGAAGGCAGCUUACUAGGCUGUAACUGACGCUGAGGCACGAAAGUGUGGGGAUCAA